GAUGAACGCUGGCGGCGUGCCUAAUACAUGCAAGUCGAGCGAACAGAUGAGGAGCUUGCUCCUCUGACGUUAGCGGCGGACGGGUGAGUAACACGUGGAUAACCUACCUAUAAGACUGGGAUAACUUCGGGAAACCGGAGCUAAUACCGGAUAAUAUAUUGAACCGCAUGGUUCAAUAGUGAAAGACGGUUUUGCUGUCACUUAUAGAUGGAUCCGCGCCGCAUUAGCUAGUUGGUAAGGUAACGGCUUACCAAGGCAACGAUGCGUAGCCGACCUGAGAGGGUGAUCGGCCACACUGGACCUGAGACACGGUCAGACUCCUACGGGAGGCAGCAGUAGGGAAUCUUCCGCAAUGGGCGAAAGCCUGACGGAGCAACGCCGCGUGAGUGAUGAAGGUCUUCGGAUCGUAAAACUCUGUUAUUAGGGAAGAACAAAUGUGUAAGUAACUAUGCACGUCUUGACGGUACCUAAUCAGAAAGCCACGGCUAACUACGUG
rnacentral:rRNA from 1 species